GAGGAAUAUUGGUCAAUGGGCGGAAGCCUGAACCAGCCAUGCCGCGUGCAGGACGACGGCCCUACGGGUUGUAAACUGCUUUUCCGGGGGAAGAAUAAGGCCCAUGCGUGGGCCGAUGCCGGUACCCCGGGAAUAAGGAUCGGCUAACUCCGUGCCAGCAGCCGCGGUAAUACGGAGGAUCCUAGCGUUAUCCGGAUUUACUGGGUUUAAAGGGUGCGUAGGCGGGCCCCUCAGUCAGCGGUGAAAGUCUGCGGCUCAACCGUAGGAUUGCCGUUGAUACUGGGGGUCUUGAAUUCGGUCAAGGUGGGCGGAAUGCGUGGUGUAGCGGUGAAGUGCGUAGAUAUCACGCAGAACGCCGAUAGCGAAGGCAGCUCACCGGGCCGACAUUGACGCUGAGGCACGAAAGCGUGGGGAUCAAAC
rnacentral:rRNA from 1 species